CCCGUUCCACGUCCACAUCCUGCCCCACGGACACGCAGACGUUCGUUAAAUACAACGGUACAUCGGCCAUUGUGGCAGUCGAGCUUCAAGUGCGAUGAUGCUAACGACGCGGACCGGAAGUGCCGUACAAAGACGUACAGCCAACUUGGGGGAGCUGUUGGAUCAUGCAAAUCCACUUUGAUUGGGACUUUCUGGCUUAUUGAUGGAGGGCCAAAAGGAGGAGCAUCAAUCUUGCAGUGAAUGUGUAGCUCCUGUCUGCUGUCUGUCCAGGAGUACUUUGUGUGGACUUCGGCCAGGAUAAGAAUAAGUUCGUCUUUGGAGACAUUACACGACUCACUUACACAAGGGGAGGCUUGCAAAGCACCAAGGAGGCUACUCCGGACUUUCUUUCACCAACUUUCGCAAAUCUGCUCAGUUUUUUCCCCCCCGAGUUACUCACCGGAGCGGCGACCGCGGUCUUCAGCGUAUGGAGGCGAAGGCGACGCCACAGAGGGAAGCGAGCCGGUAUCCAGGUGAAACUCCGCAACACAGGAUACAGACUGGCGUUUCAGUCCAUCCACCUCGCGAAUGAACGGUCCUUACCCAAUAAAAUGGACGAGCUUCAUCUUCUGAUGAAGUCCAGUAAAGACUUUGGACGUUCCGCCGCCAUGUUCUUUACGGAGACUUUGCUUUGUGAGGCUAUACCCGAUGGCGCCGUCAUGCUUCCGGGCUUUCAUCUUCACCUAGCAGACCGCAUCAUGGAGUUAACGGGGAAAACAUAGGGCGGCGGGAUAUGCUUCUAUAUCAACAAAAAAUGGUGCACGGACGUCACGGAGCUCAGCACACACUGCAGCCCGCAUUUGGAGUCGCUGUCUUUGAACUGUAAGCCAUUUUACUCGCACACCCACCCAGCCACACCACCGACCACUAACACACCGCCGACUUCUGCGUUAACCAUCCUCGAACAGGAUGUGAGACGCAUCUUCCAACAACAAAAGAUUAACAAAGCAGCAGGCCCAGACUAUGUGUCCCUCAUCCACACGCAGCAUCAGCACUGGGGCGCCCCAAGGUUGUGUCCUCUCUCCGCUGCUCUUCUCUCUCUACACGAACGACUGCACCUCAACGCACCCGGCUGUCAAACUCCUGAAGUAUGCAGAUGACACCACUGUCAUCGGCCUCAUCAAGGACGGUGACGAGUCUGCAUAUCGACAGGAAGUGGAGCGGCUGGAGCUGUGGUGCGGCCGACACAACCUGGAGAUGAACACGCUCCAGACUGUAGAGAUGAUUCAGGAGGCAUCCUUCGCCACAGCUGCCCCUCACGCUGUCCAGCUGCCUUGUGUCAACCGUCGAGACCUUCAAGUUCCUGGGAAUUACAGUCUCUCAGGACCUGAAGUGGGUGAUCAUCAUCAACUCCGUCCUCAAAAAGGCCCACCAGAAGAUGUACUUCCUGUGGCUUCAGAGAAAGCACGGCCUGCCACCGGAGCUGCUGAGGCAGUUCUACACAGCGGUCAUCAAAUCAGUCCUGUGUUCUUCCAUCACAGUCUGGUUUGGUGCUGCAACAAAAAAGGACAAACUCUGACUGCAACGGACAAUCAAAACUGCUGAAAGGAUUGUCGGUACCCUCCUACCCACCCUUGAGGACUUUCACGCUGCCAGAACUAAGACAAGAGCGUGGAAAAUCCUCUCGGACCCUCCACAUCCCGGUCACCAGUUCUUCCAGCUCCUUCCCUCAGUGUGUGGAUUCCAAGGAGCUGGGUGUUCCAUCGAGGGGACAGUCUCUGCAUCAGAGAGACGCUCUCUCUGUGUCGUCAGUGUCUCGUCUCUCCUUGCACCCCUCUGCUCUACACAACCGAACUCGCCCAUUCUCUGUGGCCAUCCAUCUGCACCACUGAUCAGAAGCUUUCAAACCAAGGCUUUGAUAAGCAGUUGGAGACGCAUCACAGCUCCAGCUGCUCCGCUUCCUGUCGAUACGCAGACUCGUCACCAUCUUUGAUGAGGCUGAUGAAUGCGGUGUCGUCUGCAAACUGCAGGAUGUUGACAGCCCGGUGCGUUGAGGUGCAGUCAUUCGUGUAGAGAGAGAACAACGGAGAGAGGACACAUCCUUGGGGCGCCCCAGUGCUGGGGGUGCGUGUAGACGGAGUGGUGCACACGUCUCACUGAUGAAGACACAUCCGCUACUGAAGCUCUUUUCAUAUUAAAAGUUUUCUAUAUUGUACAAAUUGAUUUUCUAUGACAUUCACAACUCUAAGGAAAUCUCCAUGCACCACAAUUUACAGCAAGCGUCAGAUAUCUAUUUGGUGGAUGCAUACAAACACCCAGGUUAUGCACAGUGGUUGGAUGUGAAGUCUCUAUUGGGGGAAUAUGCCUUGCUGAUCCACAAGUCAGAUGCAUUUAUUAAAAAAAAAAAAAAGAAGAAGAAAAGACGUGAAAUAACCGGAGAAUAAGGCCCUUAAGGAAGAAAAACCAAUAAAAACUGAAUUUAUGCACAUCUUCAAUGGCUGGUAAAAUUUCAAGUUUUCUAAAAAGCAUGACAUAAAGUAAAUAGGAAGUGGUAAAUUGGCAGCUAGUGUUACGAUAAUGUUGUUUCCAGUUUCUUAAGCUUAAGGGAGUGUCAAAUGAGUGCUGAGGUUAAAAACUGUGACAUUAAGAAAAAUGAAAGUAAAAAUGAGCCACAACCUGGCCUGAGUGGUGCAAAAAAAAGCCAAUAAAUUGUUAUUGAAGGAAACAUUAUAAAGGUGAAACUGAUAAAUUGCUCGAAACAUCUCUGAUGUUUUUUACCCAGUAAGACAUCAUUUGUCGCAGAAAAGGUAAAGGAUUGAUUUACUGUUAUAAAUUACUUUAGUAAUUUUUAUAAGUGUUCCUGUUAUGAGCUGCCCUGCAGUACUGUUGUUGGACCGUGGGUGGCGCUUUGCGCCCUCUCGUCCGCUUUAUCUCCCCUCCCCUCUCUCUUUCCAGCACCUCUUCGGCCGCACACCUGUCACCAAUCAGCCCUUGUUCCCACCUGCAUUUAAGCCUGCCUGACCCCGGAAAUCCUCGCCAGAGUAUUGAAGCUUCUCCUGCGUGUUCCCUUCGUAUUCCUCGUGGAUUUCUGCCACCACGCCGCCAAGCCAGCCGCCUGUCCUCGUCACCGCCUGCCACACGUUCUCUGCCUCAACAACCCGCCAGCACAUCUCAAGGACCAUCUCCAUUCCCCUUUUUCAAUAAACUUUUCAGAACAACCUCUGAGCCUUCGCCUGCUCUUGGGUCCAGUCUAAAUCCACUCAUGACAGUUCCACUGCUAUAUGGCUCCUCAUCAUUCCGUGCGCCCCUGCUAGUUCAUGCUAGCUUACAGUAAUGCCCUCACAUGUAGGAAAGGGGAGCCGCAGUCACGAUGCACUUUUCAGCCAUUUAUACAAUGCUAGAAGAACAGUAAAUCACCCACACACUCACCUAUGUCACACACCACUCUCUUUCACUAAGAGUCAUAGGGCAGAAGUGGUUUGACCUUUAUGUCCAGAAUAAAAACAGUUUCUACUCAUGAAAGUAAAAUUAGCACUAUCAUAAGGUUCACGAUGAUUGAGACCAAAGUACAUCAUUUUAAAUUAGUUUUAUACAUCAGUUAGGAUAUCUAACAGCUGCAAAACUGGGUGCUAAAGUUAGUAAAAAAAAAAAGUUGCACCAUAUUAUCUGUAGGGCUUAAUACACUGUAAAUUUAAAAUGGUAGCCAUAGGCUAAGUUGCACAAUAUGGCUGGGGCAAGUUGAGCUGCCCAUCUAAUAUAUGUAUUAUUUUGGCUGCAUAGCAACGUAACAGAUGUAAGCUCCAUUCCCCUAGUUGAAGGCAGCAAAGCCUAAAAGAAAAAGUGAAGACACGUAUCGUGACUGCAACACCUGAAAAGGUGUUGUUGGAGGCCGGUCACAAAGACAAAAAAAAGGCGAGGGAACCAGAGAAAAGCAAAUGGAUGGAGAGAAGGGAUGAAUAGAAGAAAGGAACUGACCAUGGAGGAGCAAGGGAGGAAGAAAAAGGAUGGGUGAUGAGGAAAGUUUUCUGUUUCCUGUUUUAAAGCGUUCUCGGGGCUGUUGAAAAAAGUUGAAAGAGGCUAGUAGUAUAGGCUUUUCUUUUUAUCCAUCCAUCCAUUUUCUGAGCCGCUUCUCCUCACUAGGGUCGCGGGCGUGCUGGAGCCUAUCCCAGCUAUCAUCGGGCAGGAGGCGGGGUACACCCUGAACUGGUUGCCAGCCAAUCGCAGGGCACAUAGAGACAAACAACCAUUCGCACUCACAGUCAUGCCUACGGGCAAUUUAGCGUCUCCAAUUCAUGCAUGUUUUUGGGAUGUGGGAGGAAACCGGAGUGCCCGGAGAAAACCCACGCAGGCACGGGGAGAACAUGCAAACUCCACACAGGCGGGGACGGGGAUUGAACCCCGCACCUCAGAACUGUGAGGCUGACGGUCUAACCAGUCGGCCACCGUGCCGCGCUUUUCUUUUUAGUUUUUUAAAAUAAAUAAAUACAGUACAUUAGUAUUUAAGGAAAUGCCCAAUUUCAUUCGGUACAGACAUGUCUUACUAUGGAUGGAGCCAGGUUGGCUCAGUAUGGAGGUUGCUCCAGCACAGCAAUCUAUUUCUGGACCAGGAACUGUCGGAUGCUAAGGGCAUUGUAAAAGGGUGCGUUGUCGAGGUGGAACAGCCAUGACUUGUCCUGCCAUAACUCUUGUCUCUUCUCAAGCACUGAACCAAUAAAUGCUGUAUCACUUUGCAGAUGCACUGGUUGAAUGUCUGGCCCACACUAAAGGAGAAAACUCAGUUUGUGAUUGAAACAUACAUUUUGUUACACCAUUCCUGGAACAUUUCUGACACCUCAUAGGAAAGUUGUGCAAUUGUAGGUCUAAAAGAAAGAAUACCAAAAAUGCUGGAUAUUCUAACAGCACAAGUGCAAGACUAGUGAUCUUAUUGGGUAUGCAAGCUGUAUAAUUGUAAAUUAAGGAUUUUGACAAUGUUGGAAAUUUGAAAUGAAGGGUGGAUGAAGGUAAAUGAGGCAGCAUGAAGCCAGAACAUCUUCCCUAAUGAAUUUUCACAAAUGCUUCAUUAAUUCUUACACAGGCAAUUCAUAAACUUUAAGUUCAUGUGACAGAAUGCAUUUUAGUUCUUCAUAUUUUUAAUGUAUUUCUAGAAUAUACAAGGCCCAUGUUAGGUGUCUCUUCACAUUUGUUACCUUAUCCUUUUCCUGUGCCGGAAUGAUUUGGUGUGGAUUCACAAAAUAGUCAGAGCUGGCGCCGGUAAAGGCCUGUGUAUGAGGCACAGAUAAUCAACAGUGUUUUUCUUAAAUUCACAUUGUGCAUACAAGUGAGAGACAAAGCCCGCACACCUAAUCUGGCACAUGGUCCAACCUAUUGGCAACAGUCCGAGGGUAACAGUUACAGAAGCAAGGUGCUAUUUAAGACACCCCCAACCACCGAACCAACUUAUGUCAAAUGAAUUUCCACCACUAAUUACACUCUGAUGAUAUGUCUGAUAUUGUCUAUCAAACGUGCUGAUUGUCUUUGUUGCUAUUUCUAUCAGAAAUUGUAAACCAGCAAACCAAUCGAGGGUAAAAACAGUUCUCACCGGCCAUCAAACUACAGUGUGUCCUCGCUUGUCUAUUCUCUUGUUGGUCAGUGCCAUGUCAGGAUGUAAACAGGAAAAUGGCUUGACGUACAGACUAGUGUGGACAGCUUCAAAUGGCGGACUGCAGUCUGUGUCUGCACUGAGUCAAGGUCUCAGUCGGACCCACAGUUAUCCAUCCUUCCAUCCAUUUUCCAUACCCCUGAUCCUCACGAGGGUCAGGGGCGUGCUGGAGCCUAUCCCAGCUAUCUUAGGGCGAGAGGCGGGGUACACCCUGAACUGGUUGCCAGCCAAUCGCAAGGCACAUAGAAACAAACAACCAUUCGCACUCACAGUCACACCUACGGGCAAUUCAGUCUUCACACCGGCACGGGGAGAACAUGCAAACUCCACACAGGGAAGGCCGGAUUUGAACCCGAGUCCUCAGAACUGUCAGGCAGAUGUGCUAACCAGACAUUCACCGUGCCACCACAGUCAAUUAAAGAUUUAAAUAAGGAGUUAAAUAAAGAUUUAUAAAGAGUUUUUUCCUCCCACAGGCCGCUGUCACAGACUGUGUACGAGCCAGUGGUGGGACCAAGUCACUGCUUUGCAAGAAACAACUGCAUUCAGAUGGUGAGAAGAGACACAGGAAGAAGACGGGAGACCUGAAAUAGCCUCCUGAAAUAGCCCAGAGCAUCCUGAGACAGCAGCCUGCCCCAGCCUGUAGUUAAUUCCCACCUCUUGUCCUUAAAUGUGUGUGUGGUUAUGUGAGUGCACAUGAAAAUAGAUAAGUUUGUGGGUGUUUACUCUCCCUCUCUCCUCCCUUCCCAUUUGAUUUCAAUAAAAGCCACCCAGUUAAAUUGACAUGUCAGAGGGGAAAUCAGAGUGAAGCAGGAAUUUAUGAGUAAACAUUUCAUUUAUGCACUUUCUUAUGUUUAUUCAUUCACGACAAGGCCAAAGUAAUGUAAAGUAAUGUUUCCGUUUGGUUCCUUGCACUAUUCAUUAGAUUGUGUAUUGCCUGAGGUGUAGCUACAUAGAAUGGUUGAAGAGCUGUUUUGGCAGCAAUGUCAUUGAAAGAACCGUGUGGAUUUUCAUUCCAUAUUCAUCACAGUAACAACAGAGAAAAGGAUCCAUGAUGGCAUGUCUUUGUGUGGCUUUGCUAUGAGAGGAAUUGCGGGGGGGGGGUUUGUGUGUCUCACUUCAUUCCUAUUUAUUUCGGAGGUAAAUUGUUUCUGUGACUGGACUGUUUCUGGAUGCGGCCAUCACUCAAGAUGGCCAAGGUCUCAGGUGUGAGAUGUUGCGAUACAUUACGACAUCGUUGAUCAAUAUUGAUUGAUCCUUGCAACUUCAGUGAAUAUCCCCGGCCAUCCCUUCCGCUUCUGCGAUUAUAUUGAUGUAAUUAAUAUGGUAGACAUGUUGUCAGCUAUAACUAUUUAACCUUGCACAGAACCCUAAUAAAUACCAAGCAGGGAGUUCAGAUGAACUGAGUUGAUGCUUAAUGCAGUUAUUCUCCAAGCAGUACAGACGAGGAAGAGUUUCUGCCUACAGCAGUUUCUCUCGCAUGUCCAAUAAGUGAUGUAACACAACACCAGCUGGCUAGAGAAGAUGGCUGAUAUGAAUCUGUGGGAUUUGAUGUGUGAAGGAAUGCAAUACAAUCUCUUUUUGGUUUGAGGGUUGCUUUUUUAAAAUUUGAUUUUAUUUUUUUAUUUUGUUUGCUCAUUAAGAUA